GGCGCACGGGUGAGUAACGCGUAGAUAACCUGUCUUCACGUCUGGAAUAAUACGCCGAAAGGGGUACUAAUACCGGAUAUUCUUGCUUUUCAUAAGUUUUGCAAGGAAAGGUGGCCUCUGAAUAUGCUACUGCGGGAAGAGGGGUCUGCGUACCAUUAGCUAGUAGGUGGGGUAAUGGCCUACCUAGGCUACGAUGGUUAGCGGGUCUGAGAGGAUGAUCCGCCACACUGGCACUGGAACACGGGCCAGACUCCUACGGGAGGCAGCAGUGAGGAAUAUUGCGCAAU
rnacentral:rRNA from 1 species